rnacentral:rRNA from 1 species
UCGGACGGCCAUAGCAGCCGGGUUCCACUCGAUCCCAUUCCGAACUCGAAAGUUAAACCGGCUCACGUUCUGAGUAGUACUGGUCUUUUGAUCGGGAGGCUUGGUUAGUUGUCCACC